rnacentral:rRNA from 1 species
AUUGAACGCUGGCGGCAGGCCUAACACAUGCAAGUCGAGCGGAUGAAGGGAGCUUGCUCCUGGAUUCAGCGGCGGCCGGGUGAGUAAUGCCUAGGAAUCUGCCUGCUAGUGGGGGAUAACGUCCGGAAACGGGCGCUAAUACCGCCUACGUCCUGAGGGUGAGCGUGGGGGAUCUUCGGACCUCACGCUAUCAGAUGAGCCUAGGUCGGAUUAGCUAGUUGGUGGGGUAAAGGCCUACCAAGGCGACGAUCCGUGACUGGUCUGAGAGGAUGAUUAGUCACACUGGAACUGAGACACGGUCCAGACGCCUACGGGAGGCAGCAGUGGGGAAUAUUAGACAAUGGGCGAAAGCAUGAUCCAGCCAUGCCGCGUGUGUGAAGAAGGUCUUCGGAUUGUAAAGCACUUUAAGUUGGGAGGAAGGGCAGUAAGUUCAUACCUUGCUGUUUUGACGUUACCAACAGAAUAAGCACCGGCUAACUUCGUG